UCAUAUUAUUUAUAAAAUAAUAUGUUCAUUUAAUAAAAUAAUAUAUAGUUUUAUAUAUUAUUUCUGUUUUAUCUUGCUUUCAUUUUUGUCCCUAGUUUGUAAAAAAGUCAUCCUCAUCUAUGAAUAUUUGUUUUCCUUUGUUUUUAAUUGUAUUUUAUUUUGGUGGGGAAGCUUUUAUUUUCUUACUUCCUGAUUUUGCGUUAUAUGCUGUGUGUUCCCGCUGCCCUCCUCAGUUCGCGCCUAGCUGCGCUGGGGAGAGGGUGUUUGUGGAGAAUCCAGAACCCAGGAGCUGCUGUGUUUAAAAUUUUCUUGUUUUGAACAGGAAUAAAGUUAUCCUGAAUCCUGAUCUCGAGGUGGAUCUGACUUCCUUUUUCCAACCGUUACAUCUGGUGCCGUGACCCGGAUGCUUAGAUCAGCCGCUGCCGAUCACCGAGGUUCUGCCGUGUGCUUGGAACGUCGAAUGUUCAAGGUGUUUGUGGAGAAUCCAGAACCCAGGAGCUGCUGUGUUUAAAAUGUUCUUGUUUUGAACAGGAAUAAAGUUAUCCUGAAUCCUGA